rnacentral:rRNA from 1 species
UAAUACAGAGGGUGCGAGCGUUAAUCAGAAUGACUGGGCGUAAAGGGCGUGUAGGUGGUUAACUAGGUUUGAUGUGAAAUCCCCGGGCUUAACCUGGGAAUGGCGUCGAAAACGGGGUAACUAGAGUGAGAUAGAGGGUUGUGGAAUUUCCGGUGUAGCGGUGAAAUGCGUAGAUAUCGGAAAGAACAUCAGUGGCGAAGGCGACAACCUGGGUCUUAACUGACACUGAGGCGCGAAGGCGUGGGUAGCAAACAGGAUUAGAUACCCUGGUAGUCCACGCGGUAAACGAUGAGAACUGGCUGUGAGGCGUGGUACGCAAGUGCUGCGCGCUGUAGCGAAGCUAACGCGUUAAGUUCUCCGCCUGGGGAGUACGGCCGCAAGGUUA